rnacentral:rRNA from 1 species
GAUGAACGCUAGCGGGAGGCCUAACACAUGCAAGCCGAGCGGUAUGUAUUAUUAGCUUGCUAAGAAUGCAGAGAGCGGCGCACGGGUGCGUAACAUGUGUGCAACUUGCCUUUAUCAGGGGGAUAGCCUUUAGAAAUGAAGAUUAAUACCCCAUAACAUAUUGAUUGGCAUCAAUUAAUAUUGAAAACUUCGGUGGAUAAAGAUAGGCACGCACAAGAUUAGCUAGUUGGUACGGUAACGGCGUACCAAGGCGACGAUCUUUAGGGGGCCUGAGAGGGUGAUCCCCCACACUGGUACUGAGACACGGACCAGACUCCUACGGGAGGCAGCAGUGAGGAAUAUUGGACAAUGGGUGAGAGCCUGAUCCAGCCAUCCCGCGUGAAGGACGACGGACCUAUGGUUUGUAAACUUCUUUUAUAUAGGAAUAAACCUACCCUCGUGAGGGUAGCUGAAUGUACUAUACGAAUAAGCACCGGCUAACUCCGUGCCAGCAGCCGCGGUAAUACGGAUGGUGCAAGCGUUAUCCGGAUUUAUUGGGUUUAAAGGGUCCGUAGGCGGGCUAAUAAGUCAGUAGUGAAAUCUUGUCGCUUAACGAUAAAACUGCUAUUGAUACUGUUAGUCUUGAGUGUAUUUGAAGUAGCUGGAAUGAGUAGUGUAGCGGUGAAAUGCAUAGAUAUUACUCAGAACACCAAUUGCGAAGGCAGGUUACUAAGAUACAACUGACGCUGAUGGACGAAAGCGUGGGGAGCGAACAGG